rnacentral:rRNA from 1 species
AGCGAACGCUGGCGGCAGGCCUAACACUUGCAAGUCGAACGAACCCUUCGGGGUUAGUGGCGGACGGGUGAGUAACACGUGGGAACGUGCCUUUAGGUUCGGAAUAACUCAGGGAAACUUGUGCUAAUACCGAAUGUGCCCUUCGGGGGAAAGAUUUAUCGCCUUUAGAGCGGCCCGCGUCUGAUUAGCUAGUUGGUGAGGUAAUGGCUCACCAAGGCUACGAUCAGUAGCUGGUCUGAGAGGAUGACCAGCCACAUUGGGACUGAGACACGGCCCAAACUCCUACGGGAGGCAGCAGUGGGGAAUCUUGCGCAAUGGGCGAAAGCCUGACGCAGCCAUGCCGCGUGGAUGAUGAAGGUCUUAGGAUUGUAAAAUCCUUUCACCGGUGAAGAUAAUGACUGUAGCCGGAGAAGAAGCCCCGGCUAACUUCGUGCCAGCAGCCGCAGUAACAC